GACGUGGGACCGCGGUCGCAGGGGUCUGCUCCGAUUAUUUAUAUCACCCUUUCCAAAUUUGCCUGUAGAUAAGUCACAAGAAGUCGGCCUGAACUAUACACAGAACACACAGAUGGAAGAUUUGAAUCAGCUGUGAAAAAGAUGAUCAGUCCUAAUCAGAAAGUAAAAAGUGAGUGCUUAGA
rnacentral:lncRNA from 1 species